UGGAAAUUUCACGGUUGUCCAGU
rnacentral:piRNA from 1 species